GAUAACCUGCCGGUAUGUCACCAUGUGUGUACAAGCCUGUGGCUGCGUUCCCGGGGCUCUGGUUGCACACAUGCUCUGGCAGUGUUUGUGAGUUCUCACACAUGCGCAGUGGGGCCGACCGGGAGGUAUUGUUUGCAGGCUGCAGCUCAAGAAUGUCCUGAUGGCUCGAUACAGCAAGCUCGGGUGACCUAGGAUUGCAACCAAUUCCCAGAAGUAUAAGAGCGCACAGAGCAGAUGGGAAUUUGGUGACGCUAACAUCUUAAUAAAUGUGCCAACUUCAAAGAAAAAAUUCCAAGCAAAAUAUCAUCAAUGGUUAAAAACAAAACAAAAAAAGAACCCCAAACAUAACUAUCUGGUGCACGUGAUGUAUUCCCAACAUGUCCUCACAGAAGGAGCCGUAAUGAGAGCGAAUUCCUCUUACACCAUGCUGCUCCUGUACCUAGAUUAUAGUUUGCGGUUGCAUUUGUUUUCCUUUUGUUAUUUUAGUCUCUGUGCAGACUUUUAAUUUAUUUUAAUGUUCAAUAAAGCCAUAAUCUGUUUU